CUGAAAGGCUGUGUAUAGCUAGCUAGUUUUAGUGUAACUAGCCUUAUGCUAACUGCAGCGUUAUUAAGUCGUAUGACAUGUUGUGUGUGGACUCAUCCGAAGGAAGAGACUAAUGAUAUAAAACAAAACUAAAACGGCCGGGAAACAUCCGUGGAAAAAUAUUUUUAGUCAGAAGUGGAAUAGUCCAACCUUAGUCGUGAGCUAGCUAACCCAAAUGACUAGCUAGCUAGUGGUUAGCUCCUUUGGGUAGCGAUUUUAGAGACCAGCCAUCCAAAGAAUAAAACGGAGAUCAAAGCCAUUAUCUAAUCUAUUUUAAAAGGUUAUCCGCGGCCACGCACUUCGGUUCCUCUGAAAAAGCGACGUGUGGUGAUGUGCGAGAACUGACAGAUAUAGCUGUUGGCAUAGUGGUAUGCACUGCGACACACCCUUCAAAACAGAACAUCACGAGCACAGGACUAACGCGUUAACCAGUUGGAUUUAACUUUCCUUUCAGUGGAUUAUUCACAAGCACGCGUGCACACACGUGUAACUGGAGGCAUGGACCAACUUGCUCUUUUGAGACUAUAUCCCUCCAAGCUGCUUAUGUAAUUGUUCAGUGUCUAUCAGGAAACAACAGCUGCCCACAACACACGAGCACAUUAGGAAGUCCUCAAAA